GGACCAGAUUUUUGGAAUAAUUUUUUAUUAUGAUUAUAUUAAUGUUU
rnacentral:rRNA from 4 species